rnacentral:rRNA from 1 species
GAUGAACGCUGGCGGCGUGCCUAAUACAUGCAAGUCGAGCGAACAGACGAGGAGCUUGCUCCUUUGACGUUAGCGGCGGACGGGUGAGUAACACGUGGGUAACCUACCUAUAAGACUGGGAUAACUUCGGGAAACCGGAGCUAAUACCGGAUAAUAUUUCGAACCGCAUGGUUCGAUAGUGAAAGAUGGCUUUGCUAUCACUUAUAAAUGGACCUGCGCCGUAUUAGCUAGUUGGUAAGGUAACGGCUUACCAAGGCAACGAUACGUAGCCGACCUGAGAGGGUGAUCGGCCACACUGGAACUGAGACACGGUCCAGACUCCUACGGGAGGCAGCAGUAGGGAAUCUUCCGCAAUGGGCGAAAGCCUGACGGAGCAACGCCGCGUGAGUGAUGAAGGUCUUCGGAUCGUAAAACUCUGUUAUUAGGGAAGAACAAACGUGUAAGUAACUGUGCACGUCUUGACGGUACCUAAUCAGAAAGCCACGGCUAACUACGUG